UCACCGCGCCUGCGUAGUGCCGCGCGCGGGCUGCGUUUGUCCAGUUCAGCUGCAAGCUGCGUGAUCAGGAGUCUCCUGUACCUCCCCAAACCCCAACCUCCAAUGACCCAGCUAACACCCUCAUCCCGCCACCACCUCUCAGCUUUCCAGUGGGCUCGCCGUCUUCCUGAGUCUGACAUGUCUUCAAAUGUCAACUCCAAUGAGAAAGAAGACUAUAUUUGUCUUGAAUGCUCACCGUCUACCACAACGUCUGGCAAACAGUAUGCACUCAAACCGGUCGAGGCGGCUGUCCCAUUCUAUGUUUCUUUCGGUGCGCUGAGGCGUCUGCGGUGUGCUGAGCAUCGGCGAAGGCGGCGCUACGGGGGGUGUGCAUCCCCACAGAAUCGCCAAGACAAAGCCUGGACGUUAAAAUACAUAUAGAAUUAAUAUAUUAAUAGAAUUACCUGUGUUCCUCAUCUAUUUAGUCAAAUAUUUGUGGAAUAAAUAAGCAAUUUAGUUAAUGAAUGAAUGCAGUUGGAGACCAGCUAAGGUUUGUAUCACGGGCUCUUUGGGGCUCUGUGGGGUUUCCAACAGAGGGUGCAGAGACCCGCGUAGAGCUUUUCUUUUCUUUUCCUUUCUGCAAAGACCCCUGCCUGAGGAUGCAUUUUAAUUGCAAAACAGUCGUGAGUGGACUGCUAAUGAGGACCCCUCCCCGCGGGUUGCGUCAGAGCCCCUCCUCCCCAUCCCCCACCAGGCUGCUCGGGUGUUUAUCAGCCUCAGGAGCUGUCGUCCAGCGACCGUGCGUUGCUAUGGAAACCGCAGCCAGCCCGGGAAGAGAGGGGGCCUACGACAGGAGCUGGAAUUUUCCGGGCUCAGGCGUUAGCCUGUGUGUACGUGUGCAUUCAAAAUCCCAGCCUAGACUCCAGCAGGGGCUGCCUGAGGUUGUGGAGGGGAGCACUGACAAGGGGGCUGUGGGCACGCGGCUUCUCCCUCUGACUCUGAAUCUUGCUUCCGCAAUGGAGAAAAGCGCGAGUUCAUGGGGCCCCGGUGAAAACUGACUCAGGCCGCCUCCCCAGCGUUCAGCUCAGCGCCUGGCUGGUCCUGGCCAGAGUUUCUCAAGGGGGGCCCUACAUCUCCUCCUGCACGGUCACCAGCCACGAUGCCGUUUGCUAAACAUGCAGAUCUGUGGGCUCUAUCUUAGAAAAAAUUUUUCUAGAAUCUUCCACUGUCCUCAUCACAUUUUCCUUCUUUGGAGAAAAUAAGACAUUUUCUCCAAAUAACUUCUCUGUCUCUGCAAUCUUAUUUUUUAUUUACUUGCAUAUUGUCCCUCUCUCCUGUUCGAUAUUAGUCAACCUCUGUGAGCGGAGCUGUAUCUAUCUUAGUUACGUCUAGACUCAGUGCCUUCAAUAGUGCCGGCACAUAGUGGCCUACGAUCCAGAUAACCGGACUUAAAUGAACAAAUCAGUGAAUGGAUGGAUGGACAGAUGGAUGAAUCUGUGCUUUCCUGUUAUACCAUAAUCUCAAAGGAGGUGAUUGGAAGGGAGCAUAUUUUCUAGAUUCUUCUGGCCUCCAAGGGAGACAAAAGUUGUAAUCCUGGCUCCCAUCUCCUUCGUACUCCUCUCCGACGGGAGGCCUCGGUUUCUGGGACAGGGAUGGGGCACAUUCACCACUUGAUGGGGAUCCUGGCUUCUUUUCUUGUUCCAUCUUUAUCGAGAUAUAGUUGACAAAUUAGAAUUGUAUACACUUAAGGUGUAGAACGCGAUGAUUUGAUAUAUGUCUAUGUUGUGAAAUAAUCAUUACAAUCAAGUUAAUGAACAUAUCU
rnacentral:lncRNA from 1 species